ensembl:lncRNA
CACCGUGUGGUAACUCAUAUCACCAAUGACAGCUGGCACUGCUGCACCAGGAGACACAGCGGAGCUGCACAUCCAGUCCAUGCACAGCAGUUGCGGUGGGGUUUCCAGGGGCUGUCCCUGCCCCAAAGCGGUAUGACAUUGCACGGUUGUUCAGCAUCACAAGUCACCCUGAGCUGCUUUGAUUCACAGAACAAAGCGUGCACCACCACCGUGCGGAGUACCACGCCUGUAGUCUUUUCCCCAUACUGAACAUACCUGUGGCUUACGGUCAGAAAAAGCAGCAUCAGAGUAAUGAAUGUUACAAAGGACAGCAGAGCUAUGGAGUGACCAUCGCAUCGGACCAAAGAACCUAGUACUGCACACCCAACUAGUCCUGUUAUCCUCUGCAUUUGCUCCACCUCCUGCAACAGUUCCUGCAACAAGCCCUGUGGUUUCUCCAACCCCUGCAACAUGCCUUGUGGUUGUUCCAACUCCUGCAGUGGGCCCUGUGGUUGCUCUGACUCUUGCAAUGUCUUCUGCAGUUGCUCCAGCUCCUGUGAUGAGCUCUCCUGCUGCUCCAACCCUUGCAACAGACCCUGUGACUGAUCUAGCCCCUGCAAUGGGGAAGUGACAUUGACAAAGCAAUUGGAAAAGAGACACAGUCUCUUUCACCCUGUGGUGGCAACUCUUGUCAGCCAUGAGGGAAAGAUAUCCCUUCAAUACAUAGCUGGCAUUUAACCCAGGCGACUGGACUAUCAUGGAGAAAGCUAUCCAGUACUUGAGGGAACUAGCUGUGGUAGAGGCAAUAUAUGGAAUUAACUUUGACAGUAAUACCAACUCCCAAGACUCAGAUGACGUGGUACGUAUGUGACCUGUGUUGUGAAGAAGCACCAUCAUUGUAUGCCAGCACCCUGGCAGAAAUGAACUGGAAUGAUAAUUAAAUGCCAGCAGUGGAUGAAGUGGCUAGCAUAUCAUAUUCAACAAUAUGAUAGUCUCUCUUCCUCUCUAUGGGCCUGUGUCUAAGCUGUGGAGAAACUGGUUCAAUGGCUCAAAGAAAAAGGAACUGAUUUAAUGGCUCCUCCACCUGUACAAUCCAAUAUUUCAUCCAUUAGAAAUAAGCGUCUCUCUGCCCAGGAGAGUGCAUAUAGUAUGUACACACCGUGUACCAUCCUGUGCUUUUACCUGCAUGACCACAGAAACAAAUAUGAGGAAUUGGGAUGGAAAAGCCAUUUCAACCCUACCGGCAUGAGUACAUGAAUUGCAAGGGAAAAUAAAUACAAGAGAGGGUCCUUCCAGGAAAAUAGUGGCUACAGUUUCUAGUGGGUGGAUCUCCAGACAGAGAGGACCUCUGAGGCUGACAAUGAACCUUCUGGUUCUCAUGCACAAGAGAUAAGUAAUGAAUAUAGUAACCACAACUAGAGGGGUGCUGCCUCCAGACAGAAGAAAGAGGUUAUUGGGUUUAUUGGACUGUGUGGAUUUGUUGGCCUGGUACAUCUGAACCACAAAAAUAUGAGGCUGUGUUGGACACCAGUGCACAGUGUCCUCUAAUGCCAUCAAGUUAUAAAGGGGCAAAACCCAUCUGUAUUUCUGGACUGACAAGGGGAUCCCAAGAUAUAAAUGUAUUAGGGGCCGAAGUGAGCCUAAAAGGAAAUGAGUGGCAAAAGCUGGUCCAGAAGCUCCAUGCAUUCUUGGUGUAGAUUAUCUUGGAAGAGGAUAUUUCAAGGACCCCAAAAGGUAUCCGUGGGCUUUUGGUAUAGCUGCCUUGGAGAUGGAGGACAUUAAGCAGCUGUCUACCUUGCCUGAUCUCUCAGAGGACCUUUCUGUUGUAGGGAUGUUAAGAGUAGAAGAACAGCAGAUGCAAAUUUGCUACUGCAGCAGUGCACCAGUGGGAGUGUUGAACAAGGACUCCCUAAUUCCCAUCCUUCAGCUGAUUCACCAAUUGGAGAACUAAAGAGUAAUCAGCAAGACUCAGUCACCCUUCAGUAGUCCCAUAUGGCCAGUGCAAAAGUCCAUUGGAGAGUAGAGGCUAAAGGUGAACUAUCAUGGCCUGAAUGAGAGGUCACACCACCUCUAAGCACUGCUGCACUGAAUGUGCUAGAACUUCAAUAUGAGCUGGAAUCAAAGGCAUCCAAGUGGUGUGCCACAUCUGGCAUCACUUAUGUGCUUUUCUCACUCCCUCUGGCAGCGGAGUGUAGGCCACAGUUGGCUUUUACUUGAAGGGGCAUCCAGUACACCUGGAAUCAACUGCCUCAGAGGUGGAAACACAGUCUUAGCAUUUGCCAUGGGCUGAUCAACACUGCACUGGAACAGGGAGAAGCUCCUGAACACUUGCAAUACAUUGACGACACUGUAUGGAGCAAUAUAGCAGAAGUUUUUGAGAAAGGGAAGAAAAUAAUUCAUAUCCUUUUAAAAGCCAGUUUUGCCAUAAAGUGAAGUAAGGUCAAGGGACCUGCACAGGAGAACCUAUUCUUAGGAAUAAUCUGUCAAGGUGGACGUCAUCAGAUCCCCACAGAUGUGAUCAGUAAAAUAACUGCUAUGCCUCCACCAACUACUAAAAAGGAAACACAAGCUUUCUCAGCACAUUCACUGCUGGGGAAAGAAGACAGAUGAAAAUAGUGCAUCCAGAAAUCAGUAAGUUGUGCAGAAGUGCUCAAUUAUUUAAUAAGACGACUAUUUCUAUCAAGCUCUUUAUCAUGAAUAGAACUUCAGUCAUUACUAUACAUCUGAACAUAGAGGUAAUAAUGGGAUUGCAGAAGUGGAAUUUUGCAUUAAAAUUCCAGUUACAGAAACUUGCUACUCACACCAUAAACAAACAUUACUUUACAUAGGCAGUUUUCAUUACCCAUUCCAGUUAGCCUUCUUCUGUUUUUUAUUGUUGUAAACCAAUUAUGCCAUCUGGUACAGGAAAUUGAGACAUUUCUUGAUAAUAUAGCUACAUCUUUUGAAGUUAGUAGGCCAAGAAAGUAAUGUAAUUGCUUUGGUGAUACAUAGUGGUAGUUUCAAGUAAAGAUGCAAGUAAAGAAGUGUCCAGCAUGACUGCAGUAGGAUUGAAACGUGCAGAAUGCAGAUACAGAGUGGAAGUGUGAUUGCAAACUUCCCAAGAGAAUGAUCUUAGAGAUGCCAUGUAUCUGACGAAGUCAUGCACGUGCGUGACAGGAAACGGGUCACUCCCAUGACCCUUCGCACUGACAGUAGCAAGGGCUCCUUCCUCUAGCUUUUCUUUCCUCUGAACAUUUCUACACUGCAAGACCCAAGACGUCUUCAGUUCCCUUUGUAACACCAGCACACACCUCUUUUGCUGUUACACCAUCAUCUGCGGGACCCAAACCGAGUCGCGGCGCGGCGCGGAUCCGCGCGGCCCCGCCGGCCGUGUGUCCGCCGGUCGGACCUCUGGAGCUGUCCGUGGUCCUGCCGCCCCCCGACUGCGGGACGGGAACGGAGCGUAGCGCUAAAGAGAGCUGGGGUGAGCUCUGCGGGCUUCGGUUGGAGGGUGAUUCACUUGUUUUAGGGGAACUAGCUGUUGGUUUGCUUUUAUUUGGUUUGGCUUUUGUAUUUUGGGUUGUUUUUUUUUUGUUUUGUUUUGUUUUUUGGGUUGGUUGGUUGGUUGGAUUUGGGGUUUUUUGUUUUGUUUUGCUUUGUUUUUUUGUCUUUUGUUGUUGUUGUUGUUUUCGUGUUUCAUUGCUUGCUUGCUAUGUUGGUUUGGAAGGAAGGUGGAGGUCGGAGUCUCAUCUCGCUCCUGACGGGAGCUCUCUGCCGCCGCACUGAGCAAAGCUCGGAGGAGCUUACAGUUUAGGAGAAGAAGCAGGAGGGAUGUGCCGAGGCUUCGGUACUGUCCGGGGAGGGCGUGUAGGCACUCUCCGUGCGGUAAAGCACGCGUUAAGAGGCGUUGCCUUAAGGCAGGAAACGGAAAAAUACGGAACAGGGAAAGAAAGAAAGAAAAAAAAAAGAAAAAAAAAACAGAAACAAACAAACAAACAAAAAAGAUAGAGCCGCGACACGGAACGCGAUAAUCUCCCGUCCGCCCCGGCCGCGGGGAGCAGUGGCCGCGCCGCCGCGCCGCCCCA